GGUAGUUGAAAUGGCUUUCCCUCCAGAGUGGAUCCUGAGUACGGCGGAACACGUGAAAUUCCGUCGGAAUCCGGGAGGACCAUCUCCCAAGGCUAAAUACUCCCUAGUGACCGAUAGUGAACCAGUACCGUGAGGGAAAGGUGAAAAGCACCCCGGAAGGGGAGUGAAACAGUUCCUGAAACCGUGUGCCUACAAGUAGUUAGAGCCCGUUAAUGGGUGAUAGCGUGCCUUUUGUAGAAUGAACCGGCGAGUUACGAUUUGUUGCAAGGUUAAGCGGAAAAAGCGGAGCCGUAGCGAAAGCGAGUCUGAAUAGGGCGCAUAAGUAACAGGUCGUAGACCCGAAACCAGGUGAUCUACCCAUGUCCAGGAUGAAGGUAAGGUAAUACUUACUGGAGGUCCGAACCCACGCACGUUGAAAAGUGCGGGGAUGAGGUGUGGGUAGCGGAGAAAUUCCAAUCGAACUUGGAGAUAGCUGGUUCUCUCCGAAAUAGCUUUAGGGCUAGCCUCGAGGUAAAGAGUCAUGGAGGUAGAGCACUGUUUGGACUAGGGGCCCUUCUCGGGUUACCGAAUUCAGAUAAACUCCGAAUGCCAUGUACUUAUACUCGGGAGUCAGACUGCGAGUGAUAAGAUCCGUAGUCGAAAGGGAAACAGCCCAGACCACCAGUUAAGGUCCCCAAAUAUAUGUUAAGUGGAAAAGGAUGUGGGGUUGCUUAGACAACCAGGAUGUUGGCUUAGAAGCAGCCACCAUUGAAAGAGUGCGUAAUAGCUCACUGGUCGAGUGACCCCGCGCCGAAAAUGUACCGGGGCUAAACAUAUUACCGAAACUGUGGAUGAACCUCUUUAGAGGUUCGUGGUAGGAGAGCGUUCUAAGGGCGGUGAAGUCAGACCGGAAGGACUGGUGGAGCGCUUAGAAGUGAGAAUGCCGGUAUGAGUAGCGAAAGAAGGGUGAGAAUCCCUUCCACCGAAUAUCUAAGGUUUCCUGAGGAAGGCUCGUCCGCUCAGGGUUAGUCGGGACCUAAGCCGAGGCCGAUAGGCGUAGGCGAUGGACAACAGGUAGAGAUUCCUGUACCAGUGCUAAUUGUUUAACCGAUGGGGUGACACAGAAGGAUAGGGAAUCGCACGAAUGGAAAUGUGCGUCCAAGCAGUGAGUGUGAGAAGUAGGCAAAUCCGCUUCUCGCGAAGCAUGAGCUGUGAUGGGGAAGGAAAUUAAGUACGGAAGUUCCUGAUUUCACGCUGUCAAGAAAAGCCUCUAGGAAGAGUAGUACUGCCCGUACCGCAAACCGACACAGGUAGAUGAGGAGAGAAUCCUAAGGUGAGCGAGAGAACUCUCGUUAAGGAACUCGGCAAAAUGACCCCGUAACUUCGGGAGAAGGGGUGCUCUAUUAGGGUGCAAGCCCGAGAGAGCCGCAGUGAAUAGGCCCAGGCGACUGUUUAGCAAAAACACAGGUCUCUGCAAAACCGUAAGGUGACGUAUAGGGGCUGACGCCUGCCCGGUGCUGGAAGGUUAAGAGGAGUGCUUAGCUUCGGCGAAGGUACGAAUUGAAGCCCCAGUAAACGGCGGCCGUAACUAUAACGGUCCUAAGGUAGCGAAAUUCCUUGUCGGGUAAGUUCCGACCCGCACGAAAGGCGCAACGAUCUGGGCACUGUCUCAACGAGAGACUCGGUGAAAUUAUAGUACCUGUGAAGAUGCAGGUUACCCGCGACAGGACGGAAAGACCCCGUGGAGCUUUACUGCAACCUGAUAUGGAAUGUUUGUACCGCUUGUACAGGAUAGGUAGGAGCCGAAGAGACGUGUGCGCUAGCAUACGAGGAGGCAAUGGUGGGAUACUACCCUGGCUGUAUGACCAUUCUAACCCGCCACGCUUAGCGCGUGGGGAGACAGUGUCAGGUGGGCAGUUUGACUGGGGCGGUCGCCUCCUAAAGAGUAACGGAGGCGCCCAAAGGUUCCCUCAGAAUGGAUGGAAAUCAUUCGCAGAGUGUAAAGGCACAAGGGAGCUUGACUG
rnacentral:rRNA from 1 species